rnacentral:rRNA from 1 species
AACGAACGCUGGCGGCAUGCCUAACACAUGCAAGUCGAACGAAGUCUUCGGACUUAGUGGCGCACGGGUGCGUAACGCGUGGGAAUCUGCCCUUGGGUGCGGAAUAACUUCUCGAAAGGGAUGCUAAUACCGCAUAAUGUCGUAAGACCAAAGAUUUAUCGCCCAAGGAUGAGCCCGCGUAAGAUUAGCUAGUUGGUGGGGUAAAAGCCUACCAAGGCGACGAUCUUUAGCUGGUCUGAGAGGAUGAUCAGCCACACUGGGACUGAGACACGGCCCAGACUCCUACGGGAGGCAGCAGUGGGGAAUAUUGGACAAUGGGCGAAAGCCUGAUCCAGCAAUGCCGCGUGAGUGAUGAAGGCCCUAGGGUUGUAAAGCACUUUCAGUGGGGAGGAAAAGUUGCCGGCGAAUACCCGGCGACCGUGACGCUACCUGCAGAAGAAGCACCGGCAAACUCCGUGCCAGCAGCCGCGGUAAU